CAAAAACAUGUCUUUUUGAUUUUUAUUUAAGGUCUGGCCUGCCCAAUGAUUAUUUAAAUGGCCGCAGUAUUUUGACUGUGCAAAGGUAGCAUAAUCAUUAGUUUUUUAAUUGGAAGCUGGAAUGAAAGGUUUGAUGAGAAAUUAGCUGUCUCUUUGCUAUUAAUGUAGAAUUUUAUUUUUAAGUUAAAAAGCUUAAAUUUUAUAGAGGGACGAGAAGACCCUAUAGAGUUUAAUUUGUUAUUGGAUUGAUUUUUUUGGAUUAUUUUAAUUUUAAUAAUUAAUUUUGUUGGGGUGACAUAAAAAUUUAAAAAACUUUUUAUUAUUUUUACACUAAUUAGUGAUUUUUUGAUCUUUGUUUAUGGAUUAUAAGAUUAAAUUACCUUAGGGAUAACAGCGUAAUUUUUUUUGAAAGUUCGUAUUUAUAAAAAAGUUUGCGACCUCGAUGUUGGAUUAAAAUUAAGGUUCGGUGUAGGAGCUGAAUUGUUGGGUCUGUUCGACCUUUAA
rnacentral:rRNA from 1 species